AUGCUAGCAAUCCUUAAUAGCCUAGCUGAAUACAUUAAUGAAUUAAAUCAAGGCAUCCCCAAAGCGCCACCAAAGGAGAUGCAAAAAGAAAAGACUCUAUAUAUAAUAUUUGAUGGAAAUAAGCCAGGAAUAUAUAUGAGCUAUGAAGAUAUUGUAAAAGAGAAAUUUGAGGCAAGACGGAAGAAAGAAGACUUAACAUGGAAAAAAUAUGAUGAUUACAAUGAGGCCCUAAAAUGGGCAAGAGAACUAAUUGGGCAAGAUUAUUAUAUAGACCCAAAAGCCAAAGAAUAUAUCGAAAGAUGA
rnacentral:rRNA from 1 species